ensembl:snRNA U6 U6 spliceosomal RNA
UUGCUUUAGCAGCACAUACACUGAACUUGGAAGGAUACAGAGAUUAGCAAGGCCCCUAACACAAGGAUGACACACAUAUUUGUGAAGCUUUCCAUAUUUUU